rnacentral:rRNA from 1 species
UACGAAGGGGGCUAGCGUUGUUCGGAUUUACUGGGCGUAAAGCGCGCGUAGGCGGGCGUUUAAGUCAGGGGUGAAAUCCCAGGGCUCAACCCUGGAACGGCCUUUGAUACUGGAUGCCUGGAGAUCGGGAGAGGUUGGUGGAAUUCCGAGUGUAGAGGUGAAAUUCGUAGAUAUUCGGAGGAACACCAGAAGCGAAGGCGGCCAACUGGCCCGAUACUGACGCUGAGGCGCGAAAGCGUGGGGAGCAAACAGG